CGUAUGUCAGUAAGUGCUUUGCUUUGGAUGAUACGGCUGAUAUAGUGUGAAGUGUCUCAAUCUGUCAUCAAGAGCAUUCUGGAGCAAAACAUCACUGUGACAGCUUUCAGUAGCUGCACCAACACAAAAGACAUUUACGAAAACAAGACACCAGAUGCUCUGUAAAUAUCGAAAAUUUAACGAUGGACACACAUUGAGAUGCAGCUCAGCUGAUGUUCACAUUAUUCCACGUAUAUCUUCAAAUUUGAACAUGACCAAAUGGUGGUUAUAUUUCCAAGGCAGAAGAAGAGAGAAUCUCCUUUGUGAGAGAAGCCUCUUGUGUCACUGUGUGCUGAGGACUGUGAUAUCUCAGCAGGCCAAACACCACGUUCCUCUUCAGGAAGUAUUGAGCCCCAGUUGAUGCUCCUGGCCCCCAGGUGAACUCUGUAAAUGCCCGGUCCCUCUUUUCUUCUCUUCUAUACCUCUCUGUUCGUGUCCUUCCUCCCUUGUGUACAGACUACCUUAAAAAAAAAAAAACAACUCCAGCUAGCUUCAAAGUGUCCUUUUUGUCUGUUGAAUGAUGCUUGUUGUUUGUAGUUUUAAAUGUCUUGUCAUUUACGAUAAAAUGCAAAUGUACUGAAGUGCCAGACUAGACAUGCAUGUGUGGGUGAUUUCUUAUGCAAUAUGUCCAUCUGAGACAGUCUUGAUUUAUUAAUGUUUUGAUAUCUGGAUGAUUUUUUGAUACAUGAAGGUACUGUAUGUAUACAUAUUUUAAUUUAUAAAUUAAAAACUGGAGACAAACAACAAUAAUUGAACACUACAAUUAGCCAUAAAUGUCAAGAAUAUAGUCAAUACUACUUGAUGAUGGGCACUAGUUAUUAUAUUAUUGUCAUUUUUUCCUCAACCCUAUGUUGUUUUAACCCCUUUGUUUUUGUCCUGUAAAACACAAAUGGAGUUUUAGGCAGGAUAUCAGAGCUCCUGAUUUCCAUGCAGGGAAUCCAACAUUUGAUCUGUUAAGCUUCAAAAGGACAAAAAACAUCCAUAAAAGUGUGUGUUUUUUGAAAGUCUGACUCUUGACACAAUUUAUUGAGUUUUAAAUGCAUAUUUGUGCAGUAACAGAAUGUAUUAGUGAUGCAGUAGCAAUAUGAAUUUUGGAAUAGAUUACACAUCUGUCAGGAGAGAUAAUGUAUGUUCAGCCUGUUUUCUUAGCAGACCGUUUUAAUUCUACAACAAAUUAUUGGUCUCAUAUCCAUGUUUAGCUGUCACAUUCAUCUCGCAAGAAUUUUUACCAGACAUUUUGAUUGUCUUCAAAUUCAGUACAUCAUUCAGUCUUACUCCUUUUAUUUCAUUUAUUUAUUUUUUUAAGGAAGAGGAGUGCAGACAGGAAAGCAGAGGGGAUAGAAAGGAGAAUGUGUUCUGGGCAUGACUCAGGUUGAAUUAAAACGUUUUGUUUAACAAGUAAUGAAUUCUUGCUGAUAUGCCGUUGACAUUAUAGACUGUUAGCUUGUUAUGUUUGUGAUGGAGCAGAAGCGCAUAGAUAGAGAACACAGAUGACCCUCAUACCAACACAGAACAUUUCCCAACAUUAGGGCAUGGUUCUUGCUUGGCUGUUUUAACCUUGUAGUUUUAUUUUUUAUAACAACAACAACAACAAAAAAAUGUUCCCAGAACAUGCUUGGUGUGUCAUUGCAGAUGGUGUGGUGUAUUUACAGUAUGUCUGUGUUUUUUUUUUCCUAUAGCCCAUUGAAAGUCCUGAACGUUUAACUUAUGUUUAAGUAUCUUAAGAGCCUGAUGCAGAAAAUCCCUUGUUAAGACAAGCUUUUCUUCCAGGGGUCUUAAUAGAGGAUUAGAGAGGAAUCCUCUGGCCAGAGCAGUCAUCUGAAUUUAAUCCACCUUGCAAGAUUGCCUUUAAUUGUCAUAACCUGACAGAACGGAACAACAGAGACUGAUGCAAAGCUCUAAAUUAGCCAUAGAGAAUUAAAAUGUGUCAAGCUGGUGUAUCUGGGGCUACAAGUAUCUGCAUCUGAUAAAAUCCUUACAUAUAAAUGUUGAUAAUUAAAAACAUGGACAAUUGAACAAAUUGACCUAAUUGGUCUGAUAAAGCUUUGCAGGCUCCUACAUGUUGUGAAUACAUUGGAGAUUGUCAUGAAAUAAGCAAAUAAAUGCUGAGGAAAACAUUAUAUGUUUUCAUUCAUUUUAAUCCCUUUGUGUUUUGUUCCUCAGUGUCCUCUCUUGGCUGCUGAAGAAUUUUAUUGGAAUAUUUUAGCAUGAGCCUGGCUUCCGAAGGACUCUCCUUUAUUUGAGCCCAGCAUGUGCCAGAUAUUUAACCCUUUAACCUUUUUCUGAUUGGAGAGGAAUGCUGGCCUAUCAUAAAAUAAAAUAAAAUAGGUACUAAAUGAAAUGGUCAAAAUGACUAUAUUUAAUAGGUGGUUGGACAGCCAUGAUAAUGCACUCUAAUGUGAUGAAUAAAUGCCAUUUUAGAUGGAGUGGAUAGAAAGAGAGUGAGAUAGAGAGCUUUUUCAAGUCAAAUUACAUGAGAGGUCUGGUGUUGUUUUAAAAGCUCUUGACAGUCUAGUAAUCACAUCAUUUACUAGUGUGUUAUGUUUGUACACUUCUUGAAAAUUAAUGAUAAAUAAUUUUUUAUUUUUUUAAACUAGCAAAAUGCAUCCUUAAUUCUUCAGCGGCCAUAUGAUUUUGCCUACAUUUUAAUGAUGUAUAUGGCUGUAUGAGGACUUUGUUGUGUGCUUCUAGUUUAAUGUGCUUCAAGCCAGCAGCUUCACUUUGAACUGGUGUAAUAAUGUCAUGCUUCAUCUAAUGAGUCAUUUUAUCCUGGCAUAUUCUAAUACCACACUGUCACUUCUAAUGAGUUUCAUAAACAUUUGCUUUGAAAUUUAAUUGAAUAAACCUCUCAUUCUGAAAAUGUGAUAUAAUGCCAAACUCAUCUCAACCCUUUGAAGCACCAUAAGCAUGUGCAAACCUCUAUAUCUGUAUAUUUCUACAUACCUGUAUACUUCAUUUGAACCUUUGCUCAAUUAUUUUUGUCUCUACCAGAGAGCUGUAAAAUCAAGUGUUUAUUUUUUUCCCUGUAACCAGAUAAAAAGGGAGAGUGACAGUACUGAGGUCCCCUCUGGAUAUAAAUGUGCACCAUUUGUGAUGAGACUGACAUGAACGGUCUGUUUAACUGUGUCAGAAUUGGACAUUUUUCAUGUUUAAAAAUUAUGCCUUGCAGUGUUUAGCAUACUCUGAUGAGCACAGUUUUUCAUACAAAAAAUAUUGCAUGUAAAAAAAUAAAAUAAAAUACUCCAGUGAUUAAAGAACAUCAUUAGCCAAGAUGGUACAUUUUCCAAAUUAAUUUGGAAGUCCUGAUUGUCCAUGAACCCCAUAAGAACUUGUCACACAGUUUUAUGAAAUAUGCCACCAGGCUUUUUCCUAGUGCCACUUUCUUUUUAUAGACUUUUUUUCUUUGAAGACAAACUAAGGUUAAAUAAUUUCUUGACAGGGAAUGGAUUGACAUAAAAUUGGACAGACAUUUUUGCAUGACCUGUCCAGGCUGUAAUCAUUGCAAGCAAUCAAUUCAUUGGGAACCAAGUUAAACCGGAACUCAAUUUGGUUUGUAGCCUGUGAGAUAAAUCUGAUUCUUCUUAAAGGACUUUCUCAUGGACUUUGCAUAGAUUCUUGAGAUAAAGGUCUAAGAUAUAUUAACUGGAGAGUGUUUAAAAAAUCAUUGUCGAAGGCAGAGGAAGGUACUGAUUUCAAGGGUGUCCAAUGAUCCAUGCAAGACUUUGCACCCAGUCAUUUACUCAUUUCAACAGGUAUAGAUGACAGAAACAGUCUCCCAUCUGCUCAUUUUAGACUUUGCUGGCAGUGCACUCAGUGAAAUGACUAUCAUUAGCUUAAAUAAAUAAAUAAAUUACCACAUAUAUAAACCCUUAAAAUAUAGUUAGUGAAACCGAAAAGGCAAUUUUACUUUGAUAAUUUUAGUAUUAUAUUUUUUUUUUAGAAGAAACAAUUGUUUUUGUGUUGUUGUUGUUGUUGUUGUUGUUGUUUUAUAUGAAUUUUUACCUAAAUUCAUUACUUGAGACUUAUGUGCCCUCUAGAAGCUUGCAUGCUGCAAGUGAACGUUGCUUUAUUGUGCCAUCCCAAAGAGGCACAAAAUCACUUUCACAGACUUCAAGUAUCGUCUAAAAACGCAUCUCUUCCAUCUUUAUUUGACCCUCUAACUCUAGCACUCUCUAUUCUAAUUCUAUUCUUUUAAAAAAAACUUAUCCCUUUUAGACUUGCACUCUAUUCAUUUACUGCUUGUUACUAUUUGUUUUCUUUUCGCUAACUUUUCUAAUCUUUUUGUAUUCUAUUUGUUCUCUUUUUAUUUAUUAUACAGUUAGCAAAAGCAAAAAAGGC
ensembl:lncRNA